rnacentral:rRNA from 1 species
UACGUAGGGCGCGAGCGUUGUCCGGAAUCAUUGGGCGUAAAGAGCGUGUAGGCGGCCACUUAAGUCCUGCGUGAAAUCUUGCGGCUCAACCGCAAGCGGUCGUGGGAAACUGGGUGGCUAGAGUGCGGGAGAGGAGAGUGGAAUUCCUGGUGUAGCGGUGGAAUGCGCAGAUAUCAGGAAGAACACCCGUGGCGAAGGCGGCUCUCUGGAACGCAACUGACGCUGAGGCACGAAAGCGUGGGGAGCAAACAGG